AUACGAAAGGUGCAAGCGUUAAUCGGAAUUACUGGGCGUAAAGCGCGCGUAGGCGGAUGAUUAAGUCGGAUGCGAAAGCCCAGGGCUCAACCUUGGAACUGCAUCCGAUACUGGUUAUCUAGAGUACAGUAGAGGAGGGUAGAAUUUCUUGUGUAGCAGUGAAAUGCGUAGAUAUAAGAAGGAAUACCAGUGGCGAAGGCGGCCCUCUGGACUGAUACUGACGCUGAGGUGCGAAAGCGUGGGGAGCAAACGGGAUUAGAAACCCGAGUAGUCC
rnacentral:rRNA from 1 species